CCGAGUGGGCUGGAGACCGGGAGCUGCGCCUCGGGUUUCGGCUGCACCACCGGCGGGUCGUGAAUCCUUUCGAAGGCAGAGCUGAAGCGACCGGCGGAGAUUCCGUGAGAUGUUUCAGCUGCACGGAGGGCGCCCGGCCUUUCCCCGCCGAGGAUCGGGGCCUGUUGUCUGGAGUUGUCUCCCAGACCCGUCCCUUCCUGCUGGGAGACGGGAGCUGCCCCGCAGCGGCUGCCGGUGGAUCUCCGGAGCUCUCACCGUUCCCCUGUGCAAUCCGAACGGCUGAAAACCAAGGGAGAACAAGGGGCAAAGUUUUGCAAACAGGGGCAAGACCAGAACAUGUGGGUCAAUAAAGCGACUUCAGAAUGACAUCUGUGACAGGCUGGAUUAACAUAAGAAUAAAAUCGAGCGAGUUUAUCCUUGGACAUGUGAGCCCUAUGAACAACAUUAAAUUGUAUUAGGCAUGUUUAGCACAAAUAGAAGAAGAAUUGAUUAAUUGUAAAAUUUUCUCCCACUGCUCUGUGGGUAUAAGACAGUGAAGUUCUUUUUCCCAUUCCUUCUUAAUUUUUUCUGAUACUCCUAGCUGUAUUUUCAUGAUCAUAUUAUAAAUGAUGGCUACUAAACCCUUUUGGCACGGAUUCAGAGCCAGAAUUUUUUUCUGUAAUGUCCAUUGGACAUAAUUUCAGAAAAGACUAACAUUCAAGAAACUUCAAACUUGCAAGUAUCUUAAAAAAAAAUGAGUUUUAGGCUGGAUAGCUGUUCAAAGGACAUAAAACUGUUAUCUAAAAAUAGAUCACAAAAACAUGUUAUACCUUUUGCUUUCCAUAACACAAAGGCUUAGUCCAUAAAAGAGGGCUGGACAAAAAGUUAGAAAUAAUAGG